CUUCCAUCCUGCUGGAGUGGGUACCAGCCAGCCCCUCCUGCCCUGAUUGUGAACACAGAACAUGUUUGGAUGAAAUCUUCUAUUUUCUUUACAUGACCUCCAAUUAUGACACAUCUUGAAAUCUCCCGUUUAAUGCCUCCCCCUACAAGGGGGAAGGUAGGUAUGUUUGGCAUGCUAGGGGGAGCAGAGGUAAUAUCACGGUACAUGUGUGCAUGUGUGGCCCUUAUUUUGCCAUUUGUAAUCCCUAUUGCCCGUUGUAACUGCUGGUGUGCACUUCUUAGGUAACUUCUAAACCUGCUUAAAUCAGAAUUCAGAGGUGUUCAAAGUAAAAGUUUUUAAGCAGGAUAUUUGAUUGGGAACCGUUUUACUGCUAAGAUGUUUUUGAGAAAGAUUAAGAAGCGAGUGUACUCUAGUACUCUAUUUAUAUGAGAGAAGGAGAGAGUGUGUGUAUGUGUGUGUGGUGGUGUGUGUUUUGUUUUUAUUUUUUUAAAUAGCAUCAUGUUCCGAUUUGAUUUUUUAAUUAGGACUGUAUGAGAGACAAGCAGGGUUAUUUACUAAAGAAAGAAUUCAAAGUAAAUUUCACGUUUUCGAACCAGAGUAGCUGACCUAAAGGCAUAGAUGAUUUUAGAGAAUGUUUCCAGCUCAGCUAUUUAAACCUUAAAUUUGUAAUUCACGUUAAAAUCUCACUUUAGUGAAUAACCCUGUAUGUGGCUUUGGGGCUGUUUGUAUGUUGACGAUAACUUUCAAAAUCUAUACCAAGAUGGGAGAGUUAUUCACAGUCUUCUGUAUCACAUUCAGUGCGUUAUUAAUCUGUCAUGUGUUCUAGUUACUAUAUUGAGAUAUUGUUAUUAUUAUUGCCAUUUAUAUAGCGCCAACGGAUUCUGUAGCGCUUUACAAUUUUAUGCGAUGGGGGAUUUAACUAUAAAUAGGACAAUUACAAGAAAACUUACAGGAAUGAUAGGUUGAAGAGGACCCUGAUCAAAUGAGCUUACAUUCUAUAGAUAUGAAUCAGAUUAGCCCAUUUACUUAAUUCGAAUUUAAUCUUGAGUCAUUCAAUGACAUAUAUAUUGAAUUACCACAUACACAUAUAUAUAUAUAUACAGUGAGGGAAAAAAGUAUUUGAUCCCCUGCUGAUUUUGAACGUUUGCCCACUGACAAAGAAAUGAUCACUCUAUAAUUUUAAUGGUAGGUGUAUUUUAACAGUGAGAGACAGAAUAGCAAAAACAAAAAAAAUCUAGAAGAACGCAUGUCAAAAAAAGUUAUAAAUUGAUUUGCAUGUCAAUAAGUGAAAUAGGUAUUUGAUCCCCUAUCAAUCAGCAAAAUUUCUGGCUCCCAGGUGUCUUUUAUACAGGUAACUAGCAGAGAUUAGGAGCACUCUUUUAAAGGGAGUGCUCUUAAUCUCAGUUCGUGACCUGUAUAAAAGACACCUGUCCACAGAAGCAAUCAAUCAGAUUCCAAACUCUCCACCAUGGAGAGCUGUCCAUGGAUGUCAGGAACAAGAUUGUAGACCUACACAAGGAUGGAAUGGGCUACAAGACCAUCGCCAAGCAGCUUGGUGAGAAGGUGACAACAGUUGGUGCAAUUAUUCGCAAAUCGAAGAAACACAAAAUAACUGUCAGUCUCCCUCGGUCUGGUGCUCCAUGCAAGAUCUCACCUUGUGGAGUUUCAAUGAUCAUGAGAACGGUGAGGAAUCAGCCCAGAACUACACGGGAGAAUCUUGUUAAUGAUGAAAUUUGGCCUGGGCACUUUUGAGUCUCAGUGGCCCACUGAGAAGGGGGCGGGACCAGAGAAGGGGUGUUUUGUCAUCACCAAUGACAGGCACGCCCCCUCUCAAAGUGAGCAUGUUGGUUCAGUGCUCUUGAAGGGUGCAAUGUGUGAGGAGUGCAGUGUGUGUGUGAAUGCAGCAGUGUGUGUAAGGGGUGCAGUGUGUGUAUGUGUCUGUGUGUGUGAAGGUGCAGUGUGUAUGAAGGAGAGUGCAGUAUGUGUGUAUGUGUCUGUGUGUGUGAGUGUAGUAUGUGUGUGUGUGAAGGGUGCAGUGUGUCAGGAGUGCAGUGUGUGUUUGGUGUGCAGGAGGGGGGAAUAAGUGCAGUGUGUGUGAGGGGUCUGGCAUUAACUCAACUCGCCAUGUUUGGAGGAGGUGGAAUGCUGCCUAUCACCCCAAAAACACCAUCCCCACCAUCAAACAUGGAGGUGGAAACAUUAUGCUUUGGGGGUGUUUUUGUGCUAAGGGGACAGGACAACUGCACUGCAUCAAAGGGACGAUGGAUGAGGCCAUGUACCGUCAAAUCUUGGGUGAGAACCUCCUUUCCUCAGCCAGGGCAUUGAAAAUGGGUGGCUCAAGAAGAAGCACAUUAAGGUCUUGGAGUGGCCUAGCCAGUCUCCAGACCUUAAUCCCAUAGAAAAUCUGUGGAGGGAGCUGAAGGUUCGAGUUGCUAAAUGUCAGCCUCAAAACCUUAAUGAGAGGAUCUGCAAAGAGGAGUGGGACAAAAUCCCUCCUCAGAUGUGUGCAAACCUGGUGGCCAACUACAAGAAACGUCUGACCUCUGUGACCUCUGUGAUUGCCAACAAGGGUUUUUCCACCAAGUACUAAGUCGAAGGGGCCAAAUACUUAUUUCACUCAUUGACAUUCAAAUCAAUUUAUAACUUUUUUGACAUGAGUUUUUCUGGAUUUAUUUUUUGUUAUUCUGUCUCUCACUAUUACAAUACACCUACCAUUAAAAUUAUAGACUGAUCAUUUCUUUGUCAGUGGGCAAAUGUUCAAAAUCAGCAGGGCAUCAAAUACUUUACUUUUUUCCCUCACUGUGUGUAUAUAUAUAUAUAUAUAUAUAUAUAUAUAUAUAUAUUAGCCAUUCACAUGCAACUUGCUGCACACACAAAGCGACCUAAUGCAUAGACCUAUGCUGGCACACAGAUACACGUUAGCACACAUACAUAGAAACUCUAAUCAUCAGACACACAAAUGUAGAUGCACAUGCUGGUGUGACUGUGUCAUCAUUAAUUUCUGACAGUUAUGUUUGAGGAUCUUUGAUCUUUGCUCUCCCCACUGGCACGUGAAGACACACAGCAAGGUUUGUGCAUGGGCCACCAGGAGAGAUUAAAGGAUCUCCCCUGUCGGUCGUGGCCCAUGACCAUCACGACCCACAGUUUCAGCAUACAUUUGUAUUAUUUUAGAUGUCAUUUUCAGUUAUAUAUUGCAUUUCCACUAAGAAUUUCUUCAAAGGAAAGCUGUCACUACUCUGGAAGUUACAUAGUUGAAAAUCACCUAUAAAUAUGGCAGAUUUACAUAAUAGGUGGCUGUAGGCACAAAAUUCUAAAUGACCCCCGAUCCUUACCCUUCCAAACAAAAACAAAAAAACUCUUAACUUUAUAUGAUAUAAUUUUUUUUUAUAUAUAUAUAUAUAUAUAUAUAUACAUACACACACACACACACACACUCUGUGUGAAUGUGUAGCAGUGUGUGUAAAUGUAUUUUUGCAUGUCCGUGUGUAUGUAUGUCUGUAGGUGUUUGUGCAGCAGUUUGUGUUUGUAACAUUGUGGGUAGCAGCGUGUGACGUGUUCAAGUAACCUACUUUUUUCAAUACAUGAAAUACAUCCUAUCCUUACCUCUUAUGCCACUUUACCCCACUUCUUUCAGAAUGUAAGCUCGUUUGAGCAGGGCCCUCAUCACACUCUGUUUCAGUUUGUCCAACUCUUCUUUACGCGAAUACUUGUCUGUUAGUCCACCUAUUGUACAGUGUUUCAGAAUUUGUUGGCACUUUAUAUAUAAUAAUAAUAAUAGUAGUUCCUCCAAAGUGUCACUAAGGAAGGACAGUUCCUAUUUUGGACCAAAUCUCUCUUGCUCUUUUCUACCCUUGUGCAGGGCCAGAUUAAGAGCCCAGAGGGCCUGGUGCUGACAAUAAUGAUGGGCCUAAGUACAGAAUCUUAUCGACCAAAAACACUAAAACAGUCAUACCUCUCAAGCGUUAUGUAUCUGGUGGAGAUGUUGCCGGAGGGAAUCUCAUAGGAUGCAGCUAUAAAAAAACUCAGAUUAUCUUAAAAUAGGCUAAUCUCUCUCUAAUUAAUGUUUUCAUCUUUCAAGUAAAUCCAAACCCCCUAACAGCAGUGUCCAGUGAAGCAGGAAGUCAAUGGGUGGUGUAAAAAGGUGGCCCACUGACGCAGAUCAUGAAACCAGAACUUCCGAAAGGAACGAACAUGCCCAAAAAGGAGGCAUGUCUGCCCAAAGAAUUAGAAGGCUAGCCUUGCAUGAAUGCAUGUCAGGCUGCCUGCCAAUCAUACAUGCUGACUAACAGCAUCCUGAGCGUGGCAUAAAUGCGUCUGAUGAUGCACUCGCUCCACACUUUCUAAGGACUGUCCCCUAGCACUCGCAUGCCCACUUGUCUCCUUACCUUCUUACUAGCAGGCAGAAGCUCCUGCUAUACAGUCUGAGACAGAGAAAAGGUGGAUGUAGUGAGUGUAGAAGAAAGAAAACAUGCCACAGUGCUGGAGAGACCAAAGUCAGCAUUACUUUAACUAAUUUCAUUUCAGCUAGUCCACACAAGUUUUGUUUCCAUAAAUCCCUCUUAAGUUUCCAUACUUAAGCAAGAGUAUGUGAAGAGUAGUUAGGGUUGCCACCUUUCUUGGAAAAAAAAAUACAGGCCUUGCUAAUUUGCAUAUCUAAUUAUGUAUGUGUGACAUCACAUGAUGUAAAUCACAAGGAGUGACAUAAGAGAAAAUUCUGUAAAAUCACCAAAAAACUACUUACAGUUUGAUUCUACUGUAUAGAUGGAUUGCUCCCAGUGUCCCCAUGUCACCGAAUGUCCCCAUGUCUCCCAUUGUCCCCAUGUCACUGGGGGACACUGUGAGUCAUGGGGACAAUGAGACACUUGGGGACACCGGGAGACUUGGGGACACUGGCAGACACUGUCCCUAUGGAUCACAGUGUCUCAGUGCCCCAUGUCUCCCAGUGUCCCCAUGUCUUUGUGUCCCCAUGUUGCCCAGUGUCCCCUAGUGUCUGUGUCCCCAUGUCUCACAGUGUCCCCAUGUCACUAGGGGACACUGAGACACUUGGGACACUGGGAGACAUGUUGACACAGGGAGACAUGGGGACACUGAGACACUAGCAACACUGGGAGACAUGGGGACACUGAGACACUAGGGACACUGGGAGACACGGGCACACAGACACUAGGGGCACUGGGAGACAUGGGAAUACUGAGACACUGGGAGACAUGGGGACACUGAGACACCAGGGAUACUGGCUGGGAGACAUGUGGACACUGAGACACUUGGGGACAUUGUGUCCCCAGUGUCUUAGUGUCCCACUCCCCAUGUCUCCCAGUGUCCCCAUGUCACCAGGGGACACUGAGACUCUUGUGGACACUGGGAAACAUGGGGACACUUUGACACUAGUGACACUGGGAGACAUGGGGACACUGAGACACUGAGAGUUUUGUCAUGCCUAGGGCAGCACCAGGAUACACCACUGGUCUUUGGACUUAAAAGCCAUUUUAGUUUUAGUCGUAUUUUAGUCUUCUGAAUUGUUUUAGUUUUAGUUUUAGUCGACUAAAUCUCCAGUAAAUUUUAGUUGACACGACUAAAAUCUAAUAGGUUUAGCUAAAGCCUCUAUCAUACUUUUUUGACCCUUCCCAAGCCCCUCUGUGUCUCUUUAUGUCCCCACAGCCCCUCUGGGUGUCACCACCCCAAGCCCCUGUCAGCCUCUUUUGUCCCUUCCCCUGUCUCAUGUGCACCAUCCCCAGGCCCUCUGUCUUUUUCUCUCCACAGAUCUAUUUGUGUGUCUCUUCCCCAUAGCACCUCUCUUUCUCCUACAGCCUCUCUAUGUUGCUUUUCGCCCCCAGCACCUCCAUGCAUCUCAUUCCUCCACGUGUCUUAUUCCCCCAGACCCUUAUUCAUUUUCCUCCCCAAUGCCUCCAUGUGUCUUUUUCCCCCAGCCCUCCCAUAUUUCUCAUUCCCCAGUCCCUCCUCAUGUGUGUCUUUCUCACAGACCCCCAUGUGUUUUAUUCUCACAACCCCCAUGUGUCAUUCCCCUAGUCCCCCAUGUGUUGUAUCCCCCAAACCCUCUCAUGUGUCUCAUUCUCACAGCCCCCAUGUGUUUCAUUCUCACAGCCCACCAUGUCUCUCAUUCCCCUAGCCCCCCAUGUGUUUCAUUCCCCAAACCCCCUGUGUCUCAUUCUCAAAGCCCCUCAUGUGUCUCAUUCUCACAGACCCCCAUUUGUCUCAUUCCCCUAGCCCCCAUGUGUUUCAUUUCCCUAGCCCCCCAUGUGUCUCAUUCCCCCAGCCCCCCCAUGUUCCCAUUCCCCAGCCCCUAUGUGUCUCUCAUUCUCACAGCCCCAUUUGUCUCAUUCCCUAGCCCCAUGUGUUUGCUUCCCUAGCCCCAUGUGUUCUAUUCCCAGCCCCCCAUGUGUCUCAUUCCCAUUUCCCCAGCCCCCCAUGUGUCUCAUUUCCCCAGCCCCCCAUGUGUCUCAUUCCCUCAGCACCUCAUGUGUCUCAUUUCUUCUCCUCCCUACCCCAUGUAUCUCAUCCGCUAGUGUUAAUUUUGGCGACAAAUUUAGUUUUUGACUAAAAAGUCAUUUAAGUUUUUGUUUUUGUCUAGUUUUAGUCGACUAAAAUUAAAGUGCCCUCUCUGUCCAUAUGAAGUGGUAUGGUAGUCUGUAUGUUGUUUUGGAACGCUGUGGAUAGUUGCAGUAUACAGGCAGUGGGUGUAAUAGUAUCUGUGUGUAGCGUUAUAGGCAGCAAUGCGAGUUGCAGUGUGUGUGUAACAAUCUGUGCAGCAGCCUGCGUAUAUAUACAAUCUGGAUAACAGCAUGUGUAGCUCUGUCUAUGUGUGUUCCUGUCAUUUCGGAGUUGGUCGUUCUGUUCCAGUUCUCUCACCUAUCCAUCCUGCAGAUCACUGUGUUCAGUCUGAGGGGGCGGGGCCAUGCACAGAUCACUGUGUUCAGUCUGAGGGGGUGGGGCCAUGCACAGAUCACUGUGUUCAGUCUGAGGAGGCGGGGCCAUGCACAGAUCACUGUGUUCAGUCUGAGGGGGCGGAGCCAUGCACACAUCACUGUGUUCAGUCUGAGGGGGCGGGGCCAUGCACAGAUCACUGUGUUCAGUCUGAGGAGGCGGGGCCAUGCACAGAUCACUGUGUUCAGUCUGAGGGGGCGGGGCCAUGCACAGAUCACUGUAUUCAGUCUGAGUAGGCGGGGCCAUGCACAGAUCACUGUGUUCAGUCUGAGGGGGCGGGGCCAUGCACAGAUCACUGUGUUCAGUCUGAGGAGGCGGGGCCAUGCACAGAUCACUGUGUUCAGUCUGACGGGGAGGGGCCAUGCACAGAUCACUGUGUAAAGUCUGAGGGGGCAGGGCCAUGCACAGAUCACUGUGUUCAGUCUGAGGGGGCGGGGCCAUGCACAGAUCACUGUGUUCAGUCUGAGGAGGCGGGGCCAUGCACAGAUCACUGUGUUCAGUCUGACGGGGCGGGGCCAUGCACAGAUCACUGUGUUCAGUCUGAGGGGGCGGGGCCAUGCACAGAUCACUGUGUACAGUCUGAGGGGGCAGGGCCAUGCACAAAUCACUGUGUACAGUCUGAGGGGGCGGGGCCAUGCACAGAUCACUGUGUUCAGUCUGAGGGGGCGGGCCAUGCACAGAUCACUGUGUUCACAGCCAUGCACUGUGUUCAGUCUGAGGGGGCGGGGCCAUGCACAGAUCACUGUGUUCAGUCUGAGGGGACGGGGCCAUGCACAGAUCACUGUGUUCAGUCUGAGGAGGCGGGCCAUGCACAGCUUACUGUGUUCAUUCUGUGGGGGUGCACAGAUCACUGUGUUCAGUCUGAGGGGGCGGGGCCAUGCACAGAUCACUGUGUUCAGUCUGAGGGGCGGGGCCAUGCACAGAUCACUGUGUUCAGUCUGAGGGGGCGGGGCCAUGCACAGAUCACUGUGUUCAGUCUGAGGGGACGGGGCCAUGCACAGAUCACUGUGUUCAGUCUGAGAAGGCGGGGCCACACACAGCUCACUGUGUUCAUUCUGAGGGGGUGGGGCCAUGAACAGAUCACUGUGUUCAGUCUGAGGCAAUGGGGCAGUCUGAGGGGGCGGGACCAUGCACAGAUCACUGUGUUCAGUCUGAGGGGGCGGGGGGCUGUGGGAGGGGGCGGGGCCAUGCACAGAUCACUGUGUUCAGUCUGAGGGGGCGGGGCCAUGCACAGAUCACUGUGUUCAGUCUGAGGGGGCGGGGCCAUGCACAGAUCACUGUGUUCAGUCUCAGGGGGCGGGGCCAUGCACAGAUCACUAAAGCCUCUAGUGGCUGUCUCAUUGAUAGCCGCUAGAGGCGUUUGCGUACUUCUCACUGUGAAAAUCACAGUGAGAAGAUGCCAGCGUCCAUAGGAAAGCAUUAUGAAUGCUUUCCUAUGAGACAGGCUGAAUGCGCGCGCAGCUCCUGCCGCGCGUGCGCAUUCAGCCGAAGAAGAGGAUCGGAGGCGGAGAGAAGGAAGAGAGCUCCCUGUCCGGCGCUGGAGAAAAGGUAAGUUUAACCCUUUCCUCGCCAUCCAGCCCGGCGGGAGUGGGACCCUGAGGGUGGGGGCACCCUCAGGGCACUAUAGUGCCAGGAAAACAAACUCUUUUUCCUGUCUCUAUAGGGUCUUUGGGUACCCCCCACCCACAGGGUCCCACUCCCGCAGGGCUGAAGGGGGAGGAAGGGGUUAAAUUCUUACCUUUCUCCAGCGCCGAGCUCCCGCUGGGGACUCAGUGAGAAGCGUGGAAGCUCCUCUAGCGGCUGUCAAUGAGACAGCCACUAGAGGCUGGAUUAACCCUAAUGUAAACAUAGCAGUUUUUCCUGAAACUGCUAUGCUUACAGCUUCAGGGUUAACCCUAGAUGGACCUGGUACCCAGACCACUUCAUUGAGCUGAAGUGGUCUGGGUGCCUAAAGUGGUCCUUUAACAGGCAAAGUUGGCGCCCUCAUCAGGCAUGCACCUGUAGGCAAGUACCUAAUAUGCCUAAUUUGAAGUCAGGCCCUGCCUUUAUUUGCUCUGUUUCCUUUUACAUUUAUGUCAAAGAUUUAGGAAAAUGCAAAUAACACCUGCAUGUAACUUUCACAGCUUUCCUGAACACAUCCCGAAAAGGAACCCAGAUAUCCUAGGUUACUUUAUUGCACAUUCUGUAUAAUAUAGAAUUUCUUAUAUCCUGCUCUGUUAAUAGCUUUCUAGACCCAGCAGGAGUCUCAUGAGUGUGAUAAAAGGUAAAUUUACAGAGCUGGAGAUAAAAAAAACUUCUAAAGGAAGUUAACCCCUUAAGGACUGAGCCAAUUGUACACGUUUUGAUCAAAAUAAAAUGUAAACAAAACUUGAAAUUUGGUAGCAGAGAAGAUAUAGGUGGCACUUAGGAAUAUACAAGUUUGGUGCUGCUAAAUUACCCAAGUAUACUGUCACUUAAUCUACUUAAAAGAAAGAAUAUAGUGUAAAGAUUAAAAAAUGAAAGCGCACACAAUAAAGGAGUUUUUACCUUGUGUGCAUUACACUUGAUAGAAAUGAUGUCAAUAGUUCCUAUACAAGGAUAAAAAUAAAACACAACGUAGUGUAAUCUGUAUAAAUAUUUUGUAAGAAGAGGUGAAAACUCGAAACACUCACAAUUUUCUGAGCCCAUUAAAGUUGGCUCUGAACUUAUAGAGCAUAUAUGUCUUCUUUAUGGAUGUAAGAAGUUGAAAUCAGGAACUCCAAAAAUGGAAGUAGGUGACUAAAAGCAAUUUUAUUUGUAUGUAUAAAACCAAACACAAAAAAUAAAAUAAUAUGCACAACGCGUUUCAACCACAAAAAAGGGUCUUUCUCAGGUUCUGCUGAAUGUUCCACUGGCAUAAACAUGCUUUUAUAAAGGUACAUCAAUUAAACAAAAAAAACAAUCAAACACACAUGUUACAUAGGAUACUCCUAUUUCCAUAUAUGGUCCGGACCGGAUGCGCAUUCUACCACUUCCAAAAUGGCGGAGCUUCCGGUUCGGACAUAUUUCUCCACCAUAUUGGUGGUCUUAAAUGCAUAAAAUACAUACAGAGGAAAGGAAUAUCUAUAAAAAAUACAUAAUCCUAUAAAUAAAAAAACUAUUGUUUAAAACAGGGGUCCUCAAACUACGGCCCACCAGGGUCCUGAACCCAAGCACUCAGAGCCACCCGAUGGGCCCUGUAUCUUCAGGGGCCCGGUCAGCGCUGCAGCUGUGCAAAAACGCGACCGUGCCCCUUUGUAUGUAUGUAUGUCUGUCUGUAUGUAUGUAUGUCAGUAUGUGUGUGUGUAUUUCUGUAUGUAUGUAUGUCAGUAUGUGUGUGUGUGUAUGUAUAGAUGUAUGUCUGUAUGUCUGAAUGUAUGCCAGUAUGUGUGUGUGUGUGUGUAUGUAUGUAUGUCAGUAUGUAUGUAUGCCUGUAUGUCAGUAUGUGUGUAUGUGUGCGUGUAUGUAUGUAUGUCAGUAUGUAUGUAUGUCAAUAUGUAUGUGUGUAUGUAUGUAUGUCAGCAUGUGUGUAUGUAUGUAUGUCUGUGUGUAUGUAUCUGCAUGUAUGUGUAUGUAUUUCAGUCUGUAUAUAUGUCUGUGUGUGUGUGUAUGUAUGUAUGUCUGUGGGUAUGUAUCUGUAUGUAUGUAUGUCAGCAUGUAUGUCUAUGUGUGUGUGUGUGUGUGUGUGUGCAUGUCUGUGUGUGUCUGUCUGUAUGUAUGUCAGUAUGUGUAUGUAUUUCAGUAUGUGUGUGUGUGUAUGUAUGUGUAUGUAUGUCCGUAUGUAUGUAUGUAAAUGUAUGUUUGUUUAUGUAUGUAUGUCAGUAUGUGUGUGUGUAUUUAUGUCCUUAUGCGUGUGUGUGCAGCAUGCAUAGGAAUUUGUUCAUAUUUUUUAUAGUAUGGCCCCCAACAGUGUCUGAGGGACCGUGAACUGGCCCCCUGUUUAAAAAGUUUGAGGACCCCUGGUUUAAACCAUAGUUCUGAAUAUUUUCCAAAUUAUCUGAGAUCGUAAUGAUCGUGUGGAUAUCUGUCGCGUCACAUCCUGUGACGUGUUCCUGUUCUGGCUUGAUAGUCCGUUGCGUCAUUUCUGGUGACGUAUUCUUUUUUGGUUAUACACCUCCGACGGGGGCUGGCAUUGUCCAACAGAUGAUAGACCUCCCAACCUUAGAAUUCAUAAUGUAAAAUUUUAGAAAAUUAUUAAAAACAAAAAAUAAAUUUUUUGAAAGAAAUUUCUUGGGAAAAUGUUUUACUAAAACAUUUUUUUAAAGAAUUUUUCAAAAUUUGAAUUCUAAGGGUUUGAAUCUGGACUUUAAGUUCAAAGUUUUUCACCUUAUCUUUUAAUGUAUUUUUGCACAUACUUUUUUUAUCUGGUGGUUUUGAUUCCUUUUGGGUUUUUAUGGUUAACAUUCUUCUCCAUUUAUUUUGUUGUUAUAUACUCUCUACUUAUUAUCCUUACCUUUUUUAGUCUUUUUAUAAGUAUUUAUAAUAUUUUUAAUUAUUUUUUUUGUCCUUUUGUCUUUAUGCAUAUGUUGGGACUUUAUACCAUUUUAUAAAUGGCGCCCGCGACCUCAGGCACAUGAGACUCAUAUGCUUCUAUGCAUUUUGUUUUAUCACUACUAAAAUCUGAACCUACAUACUACUUCAGAUUAAUGAACACAUGUUAAUUUGGACCAGCAGGGUUAUUUAAUAAAAUGAGAUUUCAAAGUGAAUUCAAGGUGAUUUUUUUAAGGCCAGAGUAGUUGGAAUGAAAACAUGCUGAUUUAGAGAAUUUUUCUAGUUUGACUAUUUUGACCUUAAAUGUGAAACACCUUGAAUUCACUUCCAAUUCUCCCUUUAGUGAAUAACCCUACAUCUAUCUGGAUUUGUAGGUCUAAUCCGAUUAGUAACUCUAGCCGUAAUUCUAAUAAGAGACCUGAUAUUUAUUCUAAUUUAACAUUGAUUCUAAAUGCUAUACUAACUGCAACCAUAAUACUAAACUUAAUUCUAACCACAAUAAUACAUCAUGAAAUUAAGGUUUAGUGAUUGCUGUGAGAGCCAGUCACAGUGAUUAAAUAUCUUAGCAUGUUUGUGUUUUGUUCCUAGAAUGUUCAAAAUGUGUGGGGCAAUCAGUGCAUGUUUUUUGGAAUCUCUUACAGUGAGGCAUCCUUCAAUAGCCUGGCACAUGCCAAAUCCAAUUUCUACAGAAUACAGAGGAUACGUGGAGCCUUCCUUACUCCAGAGCAGCUUUAGAAGCCAGGAUACCCUUUCUGCUCCUCCCUCCCAACCUGCAGUAUUUCAUUGUGAUUGGCUUUGGCACUUCCCGGUUUAGACAAACUUAUUACAGAUGCUGCACAGCCUGGGAACUUGCAACAAACACAGG
rnacentral:lncRNA from 1 species